GUGUCCUGGAAAACAUGUGAACAUGUCUUCACAGGUCUGAUAGUGGGUGUAGGUGAAUUGUGGGAGUUGGAGUAGGGGCUGAUAGUGGGUGCAGGUGAAUUAUGGGAGUUGGAGUAAGGUCUGAUAGUGGGUGCAGGUGAAUUAUGGGAGUUGGAGUAAGGUCUGAUAGUGGGUGCAGGUGAAUUAUGGGAGUUGGAGUAAGGUCUGAUAGUGGGUGCAGGUGAAUUAUGUGAGUUGGAGUGAGGGCUGAUAGUGGGUGCAGGUGAAUUAUGGGUGCAGGUGAAUUAUGGGAGUUGGAGUAAGGGCUGAUAGUGGGUGCAGGUGAAUUGUGGGAGUUGGUGUAAGGUCUGAUAGUGGGUGCAGGUGAAUUAUGUGAGUUGGAGUGAGGGCUGAUAGUGGGUGCAGGUGAAUUGUGGGAGUUGGUGUAAGGUCUGAUAGUGGGUGCAGGUGAAUUAUGGAAGUUGGA